rnacentral:rRNA from 1 species
CAGUAGCCGCGGGAAUACAGAGGGUGCGAGCGUUAAUCGGAUUUACUGGGCGUAAAGCGUGCGUAGGCGGCUUCUUAAGUCGGAUGUGAAAUCCCUGAGCUUAACUUAGGAAUUGCUUUCGAUACUGGGAAGCUAGAGUAUGGGAGAGGAUGGUAGAAUUCCAGGUGUAGCGGUGAAAUGCGUAGAGAUCUGGAGGAAUACCGAUGGCGAAGGCAGCCAUCUGGCCUAAUACUGACGCUGAGGUACGAAAGCAUGGGGAGCAAACAGGAUUAGAUACCCGGGUAGUCCCUGUCUCUUAUAC